rnacentral:lncRNA from 1 species
AGCAUGAAUAAACUUCAAGGUUCCAAGUAAUGGGACUGAUUGAAAUCAAUUCGUGCAAAAGCAAUUUGGACCUUGGUGGGGGGUCCUACAUUCUUGAUAUCUUCACUAAUAUUGAUUUUAAAGAUGAUUGUUUGGUAUUUAAUUGAAUUUGAUUCCUCUUGGAGAUAUGCUUGAAUUUGUUUCAUAUUCAUUGUUGAGUCAACCUUGCUUCCCAAUAAAGU